UUCCAGCAUGCAGUGACCAGUUC
rnacentral:piRNA from 1 species